rnacentral:rRNA from 1 species
UACGUAGGGUGCGAGCGUUAAUCGGAUUUACUGGGCGUAAAGCGGGCGCAGACGGUUAGUUAAGCAAGAUGUGAAAGCCCUGGGCUCAACCUGGGAACUGCGUUGUGAACUGGCUGACUUGAGUGUGGCAGAGGGGGGUAGAAUUCCACGUGUAGCGGUGAAAUGCGUAGAGAUGUGGAGGAACACCGAUGGCGAAGGCAGCUCCCUGGGAUAACACUGACGUUCAGGCCCGAAAGCGUGGGUAGCAAACAGG